GCACUGCUGAGGAGUCCCACAACAGGACAAAACGUCCGUCUAGUAC
rfam:Schistosoma curassoni strain Dakar, Senegal genome assembly, scaffold: SCTD_scaffold0001642